GGUCCCAUAGCUCAGUUGGUUAGAGCGUGGUGCUAAUAACGCCAAGGUCGUCGGUUCGACCCCGACUGGGACCA